AUUGAACGCUGGCGGCAUGCUUUACACAUGCAAGUCGAACGGUAACAGGGUGCUUGCACCGCUGACGAGUGGCGAACGGAUGAGUAAUGCGUCGGAACGUGCCGAGUAGUGGGGGAUAACGCAGCGAAAGUUGUGCUAAUACCGCAUACGUACUGAGGUAGAAAGUGGGGGACCUUCGGGCCUCACGCUAUUCGAGCGGCCGACGUCUGAUUAGCUAGCAGGUGGGGUAAAGGCUCACCUAGGCGACGAUCAGUAGCGGGUCUGAGAGGAUGAUCAGCAACCCGGGGACUGAGACACGGCCCAGACGCCUACGGGAGGCAGCAGUGGGGAAUUUUGGACAAUGGGCGAAAGCCUGAUCCAGCCAUGCCGCGUGUCUGAAGAAGGCCUUCGGGUUGUAAAGGACUUUUGUCAGGGAGGAAAUCCCUAGUGCUAAUAACACUGGGGGAUGACAGUACCUGAAGAAUAAGCACCGGCUAACUACGUGCCAGCAGCCGCGGUAA
rnacentral:rRNA from 1 species